AGCAGCCGCGGUAAUUCCAGCUCCAAUAGCGUAUAUUAAAGUUGUUGCAGUUAAAAAGCUCGUAGUUGAAUUUCGGGAUCAGUACGCCGGUCGUGCCUUCGGUAUGCACUGGUGUCACUGGUUUCUCCCUUCUGAAGAACCAUCAUGCCAUUAAGUUGGUGUGGCGGGAAAUCAGGACUGUUACUUUGAAAAAAUUAGAGUGUUUAAAGCAGGCUCGCGCUUGAAUACAUUAGCAUGGAAUAAUGAAAUAGGACGUUUGACCCUAUUUUGUUGGUUUCUAGGAUCGACGUAAUGAUUAAUAGGGAUAGUUGGGGGCAUUAGUAUUCAAUUGUCAGAGGUGAAAUUCUUGGAUUUAUUGAAGACUAACUACUGCGAAAGCAUUUGCCAAGGAUGUUUUCAUUAAUCAAGAACGAAAGUUAGGGGAUCGAAGACGAUCAGAUACCGUCGUAGUCUUAACCAUAAACUAUGCCGACUAGGGAUCGGAUGAUGUUAAUUUUUUUAAUGACUC
rnacentral:rRNA from 1 species